UACGUAGGGUGCGAGCGUUGUCCGGAAUUAUUGGGCGUAAAGAGCUUGUAGGCGGUUUGUCGCGUCUGCUGUGAAAAUCCGGGGCUCAACCCCGGACUUGCAGUGGGUACGGGCAGACUAGAGUGUGGUAGGGGAGACUGGAAUUCCUGGUGUAGCGGUGAAAUGCGCAGAUAUCAAGAGGAACACCAGUGGCGAAGGCGAGUCCCUGGACAACUUCUGACGCUGAGGCACGAAAGCUAGGGGAGCAAACAGG
rnacentral:rRNA from 1 species